UCUCCGUUGGUGAACCAGCGGAGGGAUCAUUACAGAGUUUUCACAACUCCCAACCCUUGCUAACCCUACCCAUUCUGUUCUCGUUGCUUCCGGCCCGGGCGCCCUGGGGGCCCGACACGGCCCCCCCGCCCCGCCCGCCGCUCCCGUCUGUCUCUCCGAACCCUUUUAGUUCCACCCCCAGAAACCGUCUAACACAUCAAACACAGUAAUCCAUACUUUCAACACCGGCUCUCUUCGCUCUUGCUUCGAUGAAGACCGCUUCAGUUCGGUACCGCCCCC
rnacentral:misc_RNA from 1 species